rnacentral:rRNA from 1 species
GGGAUAACUGCCGGAAACGGCAGCUAAUACCGGAUACUAUCCUCCCGCCGCAUGGCGGAGGGAUGAAAGCUUUCGCGGUCUGGGAUGGGGUCGCGGCCCAUCAGGUAGUAGGUGAGGUAGCAGCUCACCUAGCCGACGACGGGUAGCCGGACUGAGAGGUCGAUCGGCCACAUUGGGACUGAGAUACGGCCCAGACUCCUACGGGAGGCAGCAGUGGGGAAUAUUGCGCAAUGGGGGAAACCCUGACGCAGCAACGCCGCGUGCGGGAUGAAGGCCUUCGGGUUGUAAACCGCUUUCAGCAGGGAAGAUCCAAGACGGUACCUGCAGAAGAAGCCCCGGCUAACUACGUGCCAGCAGCCGCGGUAAUACGUAGGGGGCGAGCGUUAUCCGGAUUCAUUGGGCGUAAAGCGCGCGCAGGCGGGUUGCUAAGCGGGACCUCUAAUCCUGGGGCUCAACCUCAGGCCGGGUCCCGAACUGGCAGCCUCGGGUUCGGUAGGGGAGAUCGGAAUUCCCGGUGUAGCGGUGGAAUGCGCAGAUAUCGGGAAGAACACCGAUGGCGAAGGCAGAUCUCUGGGCCGCAACCGACGCUGAGGCGCGAAAGCUAGGGGAGCGAACAGGAUUAGAUACCCUGGUAGUCCUAGCCGUAAACGAUGGACGCUAGGUGUGGG